rnacentral:tRNA from 1 species
ACGAGUAUGAUGAAAUUGGUAAACGUGUUAGAUUUAGAAUCUAAUAGAUAUAUAUCUUUAGUGGUUCAAGUCCACUUACUCGUA